AGUUUGAUCCUGGCUCAGAUUGAACGCUGGCGGCAUGCCUUACACAUGCAAGUCGAACGGUAGAGGGGCAACCCUUGAGAGUGGCGAACGGGUGAGUAAUAUAUCGGAACGUGCCCAGUCGUGGGGGAUAACGCAGCGAAAGCUGCGCUAAUACCGCAUACGAUCUAUGGAUGAAAGCGGGGGAUCGCAAGACCUCGCGCGAUUGGAGCGGCCGAUAUCAGAUUAGGUAGUUGGUGGGGUAAAAGCCCACCAAGCCGACGAUCUGUAGCUGGUCUGAGAGGACGACCAGCCACACUGGGACUGAGACACGGCCCAGACUCCUACGGGAGGCAGCAGUGGGGAAUUUUGGACAAUGGGCGCAAGCCUGAUCCAGCAAUGCCGCGUGCAGGACGAAGGCCUUCGGGUUGUAAACUGCUUUUGUACGGAGCGAAACGGUCUGGGUUAAUACCCUGGGCUAAUGACGGUACCGUAAGAAUAAGCACCGGCUAACUACGUGCCAGCCGCCGCGGUAAUAC
rnacentral:rRNA from 1 species